UUUAACUGAAGAGUUUGAUCAUGGCUCAGAUUGAACGCUGGCGGCAGGCUUAACACAUGCAAGUCGAGCGGGGGAAGGUAGCUUGCUAC
rnacentral:rRNA from 1 species